rnacentral:rRNA from 1 species
CAACUCUCGGGGACUCGGAAGAAGGGAGCUCAGCUGUCUCGGAUAAGCGGCGGACGGGUGAGUAAUGCCUAGGAAUCUGCCUGGUAGUGGGGGAUAACGUCCGGAAACGGGCGCUAAUACCGCAUACGUCCUGAGGGAGAAAGUCGGGGAUCUUCGGACCUCACGCUAUCAGAUGAGCCUAGGUCGGAUUAGCUAGUUGGUGGGGUAAAGGCCUACCAAGGCGACGAUCCGUAACUGGUCUGAGAGGAUGAUCAGUCACACUGGAACUGAGACACGGUCCAGACUCCUACGGGAGGCAGCAGUGGGGAAUAUUGGACAAUGGGCGAAAGCCUGAUCCAGCCAUGCCGCGUGUGUGAAGAAGGUCUUCGGAUUGUAAAGCACUUUAAGUUGGGAGGAAGGGCAGUAAGUUAAUACCUUGCUGUUUUGACGUUACCAACAGAAUAAGCACCGGCUAACUUCGUGCCAGCAGCCGCGGUAAUACGAAGGGUGCAAGCGUUAAUCGGAAUUACUGGGCGUAAAGCGCGCGUAGGUGGUUCAGCAAGUUGGAUGUGAAAUCCCCGGGCUCAACCUGGGAACUGCAUCCAAAAGCUACUGAGCUAGAGUACGGUAGAGGUGGUAGAAUUUCCUGUGUAGCGGUGAAAUGCGUAGAUAUAGGAAGGAACACCAGUGGCGAAGGCGACCACCUGGACUGUACUGACACUGAGGUGCGAAAGCGUGGGGAGCAAACAGGAUUAGAUACCCUGGUAGUCCACGCCGUAAACGAUGUCGACUAGCCGUUGGGAUCCUUGAGAUCUUAGUGGCGCACGUAACGCGAUAAGUCGACCGCCUGGGGAGUACGGCCGCAAGGUUAAAACUCAAAUGAAUUGACGGGGGCCCGCACAAGCGGUGGAGCAUGU